UUGAAUGUGAAAGUUUUGCUUACAGUUUUCUUCGAUUGCAGGGGCGUGGUGCAUCAUGAGUUCUUGCCACAAGGUAGAACGGUGAAUAAGGAGUAUUAUCUGCAAGUUAUGCGCAAUUUGCGCGAAGCAAUCCACCAGAAUCGCCCGAAUUUGUGGUAAAACAAAAAUUGGCUUUUGCACCACGAUAACGCCCCUGCUCACACAUCGCUGCUUGUACGCGACUUCUUGGCCAAAAGCAACACACUAAUGAUAACGCAGCCACCGUAUUCCCCAGAUUUGGCCCCCUGUGACUUUUUCUUGUUUCCGAAACUGAAGGCCCAUGAAAGGACGACGCUACGCCACGAUUUACGAGAUAGAGAUGGCAUCGAAGGAGGAGCUGAACAAGAUACAAAAAAAUGAUUUUUUGAAGUGCUUUGAAGAUUGGAAAAAACGUUGGCAUAAGUGUAUAAUAUCCCAGGGGGAUUACUUUUAAGGGAAUAAAAUCACGAAUAAAUAAAUAAUUUUUGAAAAUACACAAAAUUCACGAUACUUUUUGAACACACCUCGUAUAUCAAGUCUCUACAACUUUUCUGUUAGGAGUUCUUUUACCUUUUUACUCUGAGUUAGUACAUUACUUCUUUAGAAAUUCAUACACCUAGUUUCAAAUCUCUUAGUACCUUUUUAUCAAGAAUCAUUCCAUAGAUGAGAUGGACAAUGAUAACAUUUGUGGGUUCUUAGUAUUUUCAGAUUUUCCUAAAUUUAACUUAACCAUGAGUUUUAUAAUUGCCAAUAAUUCCCAUAAGAUGUGCAUAUACAGUCCUGUUUCAUAUAAGGUGAGCAACUUUUAGAAUAAAAAAAUUGCUCUCACCAUAAUUUCAACGUGUUUUUAAUUUUGAAUAAAAUAUUCAGUAAAUUAAAGCACAAUAAAUCAAAAUUAACAUGAAGGUUAUUUAAAAUAAAUAUUACAUUUUUAUAUGCAUAAUUGUAUUAUUCCUUUACAUAAUUGGUGGUUAUGUGUUUACCUCUAUGAAUGAACAGAUAAUUGUCCGAAUUCAUUUGUAUAUGUCUGUUAAUUAUGAAUUUUGAUAGGUUUACAUUAAAAUCAGUUGCUCAUACAACAGAAAAAAUAAAUUUUAUUAAAAAUAAUGGUGUUUAUUCAAAUAACACUCCUGAAGUAAUCAAUAAACAAUUUUUAUUGUUGUUGUUUUGUCAAAUUUUCUUUGUUUUAGUUUUGUUUGUUUCUGUCGAACAGAUUUAUCUUUUCCUGAACAUUUUGUAGUUGUGAACAAUGCCAAUUUGUUGAUAUGUUGUUAUGUACCCAGGAAAGAUGAUGGAGUCGAAGGUGCAUCCCCUGGUCAUAGGCACUCACUACUGUACUACCACUGCAUCUUCAAGUUCAAACUGUCAUCCAGGGAAGGAAGUCGUCUGCCUGUAAACAACAAUGUCCACGACAAUCGUUGAUCCCGUCACCUGUCAAGUGCGUUCUGUUAUAUGAUUCUUGUCUACAAAAGGAUUAUCGGCUGCUGAACUUCAUCGGGGGUUAUGCGUAAUUUAUGGACCGUCAGCUAUGAGUGCAGGAAAGGUUAGACAAUGACGUGGUGAUUUUUAAGAUGGCCGAACAAAUGUCCAUGACAAAGAGCGGAGUGGCCGGCCCAGUAUCCUGACUGAUGGAAUUGUUUCAUAAGUAGACCAAAAACUGUGAUCUGAUCGUCGAUUGAUGAUUAAUGGCCUGGCUGAAGAAUUCCUCAACUUGGACGCACUACUGUGUACAAUAUUGUAACAGAAAAUCUCAGAUACUCAAAAUUGUGUGCAAGGUGGGUACCAAAAAUGCUGACCAACCACAAAGAGUAAAGAAUGUCCAACGGAUGAGAGUUUUCUGGUCGUUACGAUCAAGGUGGAGAGGAUUUGUUUUCUCGCAUUUUUAAUGGGGACGAUACAUGGAUCCAUGUCAAUCCAGAGAUUAAACAGCAAUGACGACACUCAUCUUCACCAAAACCAAAAAAAGUUUAAACAAACUCUGUACACAAGUCAAACAUUGAUAGCUACCGUUUUUGGGACAUAAAGGGGUUCUUUUAGUAGAUGUUUUGGAAUGUGGGACAACAAUUACAGCUUAUGUGUACUGCAAAAAUAGCUGAACAAACUGAGACGCAAUCCAGAAACAAAUGACGCGGGUAACUGUCAUUCGGUUUAAUCCUCCCUCUCCAUAAUGUGCAUCCUCACAUUGCAGCAAAACUAUAGUCCUGACCUUGCAACUAGCGACUACAUCAUGUUCUUGCACAUGAAAUGGUGGUUCGGUGGACAAGUUUUUGAGACCGAAGAGGAACUAAGAAUGGUGUUUUGUAUUGGUUCAACUCUCAGGUGGCGAACUUCUGUGCAGAGGUGUUAAAGAAGCUGGUGCAGUGGUACGAAAAAUGCUUACAAGUGAAAAGCAAUUAUGUAGAGAAGUGAAGUAGGUUUAUAGCUUACUAAAUAUGCUAAUAAAAUGUGUUUCUUAUGAAUUUAUUUUUUCCUGUGACCAAACAGCCUAUACUUAAGAAUAUGCCUUAUAUAUGCGUAUCAGACUGUAUAAGAUACCGUCCUGUGUCACUUUGCCUCACAAGCUUUCAGUCCUUCAUACUUAGAGCUAAUAGUUACUGUGUAUUAAUAUUUUAUUUGUAUUGCUAUAGGCCAAUUUAUUGAUUACGUAAUAAGAUUUUAAAACAGAUGAUCGUGAUACAAAAAAUUAACUACAUUUCACAAUGAGUGAAGUCAAUAAAAUAAUUUCAUAUUAUUAUACAAAUUGAAUUUUAUUUACCUGGCUAUAUGAUAAAGGUUCUCUUUUUAUUCUUGGGCAUAUACAUAAAUUAGUUUCUAUGUUAAAUGGUUUUCAUUACAAAGUCUAUUGUAACUAAGAAUGUUAUUUAAUGGUCAAUAAAGAUCUUGAAUGUUUCUUGUGUCGAUAAUGUGAAGGUCACCAGGAUGUUGAUUAUGCCCUGAACUUUCAUGUUAAACCUUCAUAAUUUGUCAGCCAUCAAUUCAACCAGAAACUUCUUGGGUUGCUUCCUCAAGUUCUACAUAGACAUCUACAUAUACAACAAGGGUUACAUAUGUGUAUUCCAAAUAAUAAUGAGCCUGUGACUAAAUUUUAGUUUUUGGUUGACAAUGUUGUCCCAUAGAUGACGAUUUAUUGUGAGACGAAUGCGAUACCUCCCAUGCUGAUUCUAAAUCCGGUAUAUGUAUGACCAUCUUGGAUAGAAAGAAAUAUUGAUUAGAAUUAUUGAAAUAUUGAAUUAUUGAUUAGAAAUACAGUGAUUAUACAGAAUUUUAAAAUCUCUUUUUAUUCCUAUUUCAAACUCUUUUUAUACAAGAACAUGAAAAUGUCAGAACUAUAAUUUAUUGGAGAAAAGAAGAAAUUUUUAAGACUUGUUUUUGUGAUUACUUCUCCUGUUUGUGUUGAUUCUACUGCUGUGGCUAAAGUUUUAAAAUAAGAUUGCCACUCAUGGUGAUAAUCUCAGUAAAGCCAAAAAUCUGGCAUUUUAUCGAGAACAUUUCACUAUUGUAAAAUUCAAGAAAUUAAUUGUUUUUAUGAGUCUAUGAGUUUGUGGAAGAAAGACACCAAUAUUGACCUCUACAGUAGCUUAUGGGUAAGGCUUUGACUACUUUUGGAUUUAAUACCCAAAAUUAGAAUUUCAUUGGUAUAGCAAGAAAUAAAACAUCCAGUUUCGUACCUAUGCUGGGACUUUAUAUGUAUUGUGAGAUGAGGCAUACAAAGUCAAAGUAGAUGUACAUUCCACGGUAGAAAAAUUAUAUUUAAAUUCUGUUAUUACACGUGUUAAUGAACAAACCUCUGAUUAUAAAGUGUACAAGAUUCCUUUAGUCUUGUUGUAAAGAACUAACAGUCAUGUGUGUAUUUUACUAUUUUUUUUUAUUAUGAAUCUGUUAAGAUUCAAUUACUUUAUAUUAUGCUGUUGAGGCAACCACAGUAACUCGGACAGAAGAUUCUAACAUAACUUAAUUUUAGUUACGAAGCUACUUUUCCUAGACUACAGGGUCUACAGUAGAAAGAGUACACUAUAGUAAAGAUGUCUAGAGUACCAUUUUCAGUUGAAAUUAGUCAAACUUUUUUAUUUGUGAAUGACAUAAAAAAAGAGUUUAAUCUUUUUUUAAUGACCAACUUUUUAACAAUCUAACUUUGCUAGAUGGUAUUAAAUUUGUCUUUACAGGUACUUUGUAUAAAGGGAAUUUGUGUAUUCAAUAUUUAAAUAUUUUAUAUAUUUGCAACUUUUUCAUAGAUUUUUUAAAAUUAUUUGGUUUUGUAGGUUUUUAUUAGUGAUAAAAAUUGAUUUCUUGCUAAAAAGAUUAUAUUUGUUGUAUAAAAUAGUAUUUAUAUCUCAAUUAUGAUGCUUAUUUAUCCAUCUAUCUAUCUAUAUAUGAAUAUUUGCCUGUAUGUCCUUUAUAGAAUCGUAAACUAUGUGACCGAUCAUUAUGAACAUUUGUAUGUAUUUUUCUAAGGAGAAGGUUUAUAUGCUAUGCCCAUUGAUGUCAUUCACCACCAGUCGACACUGUAAUGUUAAAGUACCUGCACAUUACAAACUCCAAUUACAAGCCAGUUAUGUGUAUUAAACAGCCAAACACUAUAUGGAAGCGCUAAGUUAUAAUUGAUAUUUGUCUUUAAAAUUAAUUUCAUGUUGAAAUUGAAGCUUGAGUGUUAUUCCACUUUAUAAUGAAGUACAUUUACAUAUACAGUACACUUUAGACAGAUUUUCCUGAGUGUGACAUCAAGGCAAACUCUACAUCAGUGUUGGAAGCAUGUGAAGCUGCAGGAAACAGCUAGUAUUACUAUAAAUGGUACCUAAUAUCUACAGUAUGUAUUUUUGUCUCCACAAUAUACAUAAUAUAAGCUAGUUGUUAAAAAUGAAAAAGAUGCAUAGGCUACAUGUGAUUGUAUUUUAUCUUGUUUAUUAUGUAUUGUUAUAAAUUAUAGUGUACUUUUGAAGUUCUCAAGUGAUGGAAGUUCUGAUCAAUAAAAAAAGUUUGUUAAUCUAAACUAUUGACAAGUGAUGCUGUAUAACUUUGUUCCUGUAGCAUAAUUCUAUUAUGUAAGAGUAAUUAUAAGUAUAUUUUUGUAAAUGUGUUUUAGUAUUGUUAAUUUCUUUACACAGUAAAGAUUUUAUAAGAGUGAAA
rnacentral:lncRNA from 1 species